GAUGAACGCUGGCGGCGUGCUUAACACAUGCAAGUCGAACGGAGCCUGUCUGAUAGAGGAUUCGUCCAAUUGAUUUCAAGCUUAGUGGCGCACGGGUGCGUAACGCGUAUGCAACCUACCCAUAACAGGGGGAUAACACUGAGAAAUUGGUACUAAUACCCCGUAAUAUUAUGAAAGGCAUCUUUUAUAGUUGAAAGUUCCGGCGGUUAUGGAUGGGCAUGCGUUGUAUUAGCUAGUUGGUGAGGUAACGGCUCACCAAGGCGACGAUACAUAGGGGGACUGAGAGGUUAACCCCCACAUUGGUACUGAGACACGGACCAA
rnacentral:rRNA from 1 species